rnacentral:misc_RNA from 1 species
UUGUGGAGGAGGACGCCGAAGGUGGGGCUAAUGACUGGGGUGAAGUCGUAACAAGGUAGCCGUACCGGAAGGUGCGGCUGGAUCACCUCCUAACAGGGAGACAACAAAAUGUUAAAUAUUAUUAUUUUGUCACCUUAGGUCGAUCGGUAUCUCACAUUCUUGAUUUUCAAGAAUUUCUUUUCCUAAGUUUUUCUAGGUCACACCCAUUAUUUUUCCUGGGCCAUUAGCUCAGGUGGUUAGAGCGCACCCCUGAUAAGGGUGAGGUCCCUGGUUCAAGUCCAGGAUGGCCCAUAUCUCUAUGUUGGGGGUAUAGCUCAGUUGGUAGAGCGCCUGCUUUGCAAGCAGGAUGUCAGCGGUUCGAGUCCGCUUACCUCCACUGAUUACCACCUCUUCCAUAUUCUUAGAAAGGAAAAUUUUGAGUUGUGAUCAAUUUCUGAACGAAUCUAGCUUCCUAAUGUAACCAUUAAGAUGCUGGACUCAUUGAAUUAAUUUCAUUGUUUUCAGAGAACCUUGACAACUGCAUAGAUUAUUUUUUUAAAGACAAUAAGCAUCUUUAAUGAUGCAGAUUUAUUAUUUGUGCUAAUGCAUUAAUAACAAUUCUAUUAAGCUGAUGCUUCAAUUUUGAAGUUAUUGGUCAAGCUACAA